AGUACACGAGCAACGGAAGUUAAAAAAUCGGGCAAGAUUGAACGCAAAGGCAAGCGGGACAUUUGAGGAUGGGGUGACUGCGUACCUUUUGUAUAAUGGGUCAGCGACUUAUAUUCUGUAGCAAGGUUAACCGUAUAGGGGAGCCGUAGGGAAACCGAGUCUUAACUGGGCGAAUGAGUUGCAGGGUAUAGACCCGAAACCCGGUGAUCUAUCCAUGGGCAGGUUGAAGGUUGGGUAACACUAACUGGAGGACCGAACCGACUAAUGUUGAAAAAUUAGCGGAUGACUUGUGGAUGGGGGUGAAAGGCCAAUCAAACCGGGAGAUAGCUGGUUCUCCCCGAAAGCUAUUUAGGUAGCGCCUCGUGAACUCAUCUUCGGGGGUAGAGCACUGUUUCGACUAGGGGGUCAUCCCGACUUACCAACUCGAUGCAAACUGCGAAUACCGAAGAAUGUUAUCACGGGAGACACACGGCGGGUGCUAACGUCCGUCGUGAAGAGGGAAACAACCCAGACCGCCAGCUAAGGUCCCAAAGUCAUGGUUAAGUGGGAAACGAAGUGGGAAGGCUCAGACAGCCAGGAUGUUGGCUUAGAAGCAGCCAUCAUUUAAAGAAAGCGUAAUAGCUCACUGGUCGAGUCGGCCCGCGCGGAAGAUGUAACGGGGCUAAACCAUGCACCGAAGCUGCGGCAGCGACACAAAGUGUUGUUGGGUAGGGGAGCGUUCUGUAAGCCUGCGAAGGUAUACUGUGAGGUAUGCUGGAGGUAUCAGAAGUGCGAAUGCUGACAUAAGUAACGAUAAUGCGGGUGAAAAACCCGCACGCCGGAAGACCAAGGGUUCCUGUCCAACGUUAAUCGGGGCAGGGUGAGUCGACCCCUAAGGCGAGGCUGAAAAGCGUAGUCGAUGGGAAACGGGUUAAUAUUCCCGUACUGGUGGUAACUGCGAUGGGGGAACGGAGAAGGCUAGGUUGUCCGGGCGACGGUCGUCCCGGUUCAAGCAGGUAGGCAGAGUGAUUAGGCAAAUCCGGUCACUUAAUGCUGAGAUGUGAUGACGAACCACCAAGGUGGUGAAGCAAUUGAUGCCCCGCUUCCAGGAAAAGCCUCUAAGCUUCAGGUUACCAACAAUCGUACCCCAAACCGACACAGGUGGUCAGGUAGAGAAUACUCAGGCGCUUGAGAGAACUCGGGUGAAGGAACUAGGCAAAAUGGUGCCGUAACUUCGGGAGAAGGCACGCUGGCGGUAGGUAAAGUCCCUUGCGGACGGCGCUGAAGCCAGUCGAAGAUACCAGCUGGCUGCAACUGUUUAUUAAAAACACAGCACUGUGCAAACACGAAAGUGGACGUAUACGGUGUGACGCCUGCCCGGUGCUGGAAGGUUAAUUGAUGGGGUCAGCCGUAAGGCGAAGCUCCUGAUCGAAGCCCCAGUAAACGGCGGCCGUAACUAUAACGGUCCUAAGGUAGCGAAAUUCCUUGUCGGGUAAGUUCCGACCUGCACGAAUGGCGUAAUGAUGGCCAGGCUGUCUCCACCCGAGACUCAGUGAAAUUGAACUCGCUGUGAAGAUGCAGUGUACCCGCGGCAAGACGGAAAGACCCCGUGAACCUUUACUAUAGCUUGACACUGAACAUUGAGCCUUGAUGUGUAGGAUAGGUGGGAGGCUUUGAAGUGUGGACGCCAGUCUGCAUGGAGCCAACCUUGAAAUACCACCCUUUAACGUUUGAUGUUCUAACCUAGGCCCAUAAACUGGGUCGGGGACCGUGUCUGGUGGGUAGUUUGACUGGGGCGGUCUCCUCCUAAAGAGUAACGGAGGAGCACGAAGGUUGGCUAAGCAUGGUCGGACAUCAUGCGGUUAGUGCAAAGGCAUAAGCCAGCUUGACUGCGAGAGUGACGGCUCGAGCAGGUACGAAAGUAGGUCUUAGUGAUCCGGUGGUUCUGAAUGGAAGGGCCAUCGCUCAACGGAUAAAAGGUACUCCGGGGAUAACAGGCUGAUACCGCCCAAGAGUUCAUAUCGACGGCGGUGUUUGGCACCUCGAUGUCGGCUCAUCACAUCCUGGGGCUGAAGUAGGUCCCAAGGGUAUGGCUGUUCGCCAUUUAAAGUGGUACGCGAGCUGGGUUUAGAACGUCGUGAGACAGUUCGGUCCCUAUCUGCCGUGGGCGUUGGAAGAUUGAGAGGGGUUGCUCCUAGUACGAGAGGACCGGAGUGAACGCACCACUGGUGUUCGGGUUGUCAUGCCAAUGGCAUUGCCCGGUAGCUAAGUGCGGAAGAGAUAACCGCUGAAAGCAUCUAAGCGGGAAACUUGCCUCGAGAUGAGUCUUCCCUGUCACUUUAAGUGACCUAAAGGAACAUUUAAGACUAAGACGUUGAUAGGCUGGGUGUGUAAGCGUAGCGAUACGUUGAGCUAACCAGUACUAAUGAACCGUGAGGCUUAACCU
rnacentral:rRNA from 2 species